rnacentral:autocatalytically_spliced_intron from 1 species
UGCUGGAACAUUUUUUAUCGUCCGCUGAUAUUUCUCUAUACAAGAGAACGCGAUAAAAAAUAAUCAGCAGGGAAGUCGUAAUUGACCCCUCAGAGACU